rnacentral:rRNA from 1 species
UACGUAGGGUGCGAGCGUUGUCCGGAAUUAUUGGGCGUACAGGGCUCGUAGGCGGUUUGUCGCGUCGGGAGUGAAAACCUCGGGCUUAACUCGGGGCUUGCUUUCGAUACGGGCAGACUGGAGGUAUGCAGGGGAGAACGGAAUUCCUGGUGUAGCGGUGAAAUGCGCAGAUAUCAGUAGGAACCCCGGUGGCGAAGGCGGUUCUCUGGGCAUGACCUGACGCUGAGGAGCGAAAGUGUGGGGAGCGAACAGG